UCAGAAAAAAAAAAUGCGUUAUGCGCCGGGCUCAAACCGGAAUAAGACUGGGCAGAGCUAUGCAGUCAGCCACCGCUCCCCCACCCCCAUCCCACCCCGCCUCGCGCCCGCUCCACUACGUACUCCCGGGUGCCUGGCAACAGUGAUGUGCUUUAGGCCUUUUAGAAUGCGUACAUACGGAACCAUAUCUAAGUGCUGUCUGGCUUUUUAAACUUAGCACAAUGCUUUGAGAUUCAUACUAUUGUGUUUAAUUAGUAAUUCCUUUGUGUUAUUGCUGAAUGGUAGUCUAUCAUAUGGGUAUGCCACAGUUUAUUCAUUCACCAGUUGAUGGGCCUGUCGGUUGUAAGGAACAGGAGAAAACUUCCCCUUUGCUCUCUGAAGGGUCACCGAAAAUCAACUGACAAGGCUGGGCGUGGGCUCCUGCCUGUAACCCCAGCCCUUUUUUAGGCCAAGGCAGGAGGAUCUCUUCUUUGUGAAGUGUGUAUUCAAAUCUUUUGACCAUUUAUUUAUUAGCUAGCUUGACUUUUUAUCUAAGAGUUCUUUAUAUAUUAUAUUUGAGUUCUUUAUGUGUUUCAUACCAUGUUCUUUAUUAGCUAUACGUUUUGAAAUGUUUUCUACCUGUCUGUGGCUUGCCUCUUCAUUUUAAGUGUCUUUUGAAGCACUGAAGUUUUAAAUUUGGAUGUAAUUUAUCCAUUUUUUCUUUUACAUAGUUCAUACCUUUUUUGUCCUACUUAAGACAUUUUUGCUAAAUUCAAGAUUAUAAGAUUUCCUCAUUUGUUACCUUCUGGAAGUUUUAUAAUUGUUGGUCUUCAUUAUAUUUAAAAUGAAUUAUUAUUUAUAGUAUUGAUCGAUGCUGGAGGCAGAUAAGGGAGGGUCCCUGGAGAAUCUCUGACCUUCCCCACAAGCUUUUGUGCAGCUGAGGAAACCUGCCCAGGGUCUUGUCUGGGCAUGCCCACAAGGGACUUGGGGGCCCACCUGCACCGGGAGAGUGGGGUACAGCCAGAGGGAAUUUAGCCUUAUGCAGCCGGGAGGAGCAAGACGUCUUCAGCUUGUGUGUGUUGGCCUGUUAUUCAGUCUGUGAGCUGGGAGCCUGUUGGCAGGACCCUCCUUGUUUUUUUGCUGAGAGCUUUCUUCUAAUAAAUGCCACUCUUCACCUUUCAAUGUAUUCACAUGCCUAAUUGUUCCUGGUCAUGAGACAAGAACCUGGAUUUUGGCUGAGCUAAGGAGCAAAAAUUCCUGCAUCCGUAUGAGGUGUAAGGAAGAACAGAAGGAUCCAAGUGUGAGAAAGCCCACCCUGAGUCGCUCAGAGGUAUGGAGAUCCCAUUUGGAAUUAAGUCAACAUCAUUUUGGUCCCAGUGUAUCUGUAACCAAAAUGUAUCAGGUACCAAAUAUCAAAUUGUUCUAUAGAUUCAUUUCACUGCCAGGUCAAAGACACAAUCAAAAGCCCGACAAAUGGAAUUUGUGGAAUUGGAACAAAAAGGCACAAGAACAUCAAAGCAUAAAUCCUUCAAGUAUCAGCAAUGACAUCACUUAAGAAUUUCUCAGAAUCUUAGGCACCACCCCAGGCCUACUGGAUCAGAAUCUGAAUUUUUUAACAAGAUCUCAGAUCUAGUCAAGAGUCCAAUCUGAUUUCUCUUUAUUGGGACUACCACCCAAAGCAGAAUGAGGAUGAUGUAACCACGCCCAGUGACUUCUGGAUACACUGACUCUAGAUGAGCAAGGAGAGACUCAGAGGAAGUUAGUGGAAAGAGGUUACUCGAUUAGAAAGUGACUGUGGCACUACCAUAGUAGUAAAAUCUAUCAUGGCAGAGAAAAUGCCAUAUGUUCACCUUGCCAGUCGUUUUUCUUUUUCCUCCUGGGUUUAUAGGAAGAUGGCACCCCCGGCUCCCCUGCAAUUAGGCAGGGCCAUGUGACUGAGUCUUAGCUCACCAAUGUGGGAGAAAGUGAUGUGUGACACAUUAAGGCAAGGCCACUGAAACCUCUCAUGGGAACUUCCAUACUCACUUCCCUCAUCUGCUAGCCAACCCAAAAGAUUGAGUGGAGGAUUUUACAGCCCCAGGGCCUAGAGAUGCUGGAAAGAAGCCUGAGUCAGCCCUGAAUGAACCUGUGCAAAGGUGCCUCUGACCUCCAACCCUUGUUGGACUAGGAUGUUGGAAAAUAUUGUGUUAAGCUACUGAUAUUUCAAAGUUGUUUGUUAUAGCAGCUAGCCAUAUUUACUCUACCUGAUAGAUCUAUGUUCUGUAAUUACAUUGUUUGCCUCUCAUGUCAUAAGGGUAAAUAAGUGACAUAUGCAACAAUAAACUGUGAUGUACUAUA